rnacentral:rRNA from 1 species
AUUGAACACUGGCGGAAUGCUUUACACAUGCAAGUCGAACGGUAGAGGGGGCAACCCCUCGAGAGUGGCGAACGGGUGAGUAAUAUAUCGGAACGUGCCCAGUCGUGGGGGAUAACGUAGCGAAAGUUACGCUAAUACCGCAUACGAUCUAAGGAUGAAAGCGGGGGAUCGCAAGACCGCGCGCGAUUGGAGCGGCCGAUAUCAGAUUAGGUAGUUGGUGGGGUAAAGGCUCACCAAGCCAACGAUCUGUAGCUGGUCUGAGAGGACGACCAGCCACACUGGAACUGAGACACGGCCCAGACUCCUACGGGAGGCAGCAGUGGGGAAUUUUGGACAAUGGACGCAAGUCUGAUCCAGCCAUCCCGCGUGCAGGAUGAAGGCCCUCGGGUUGUAAACUGCUUUUGUACGGAACGAAAAGGUCUCUCUUAAUACGGGGGACUCAUGACGGUACCGUAAGAAUAAGCACCGGCUAACUACGUGCCAGCCGCCGCCGUAA